rnacentral:tRNA from 1 species
GGAGAGAUGGCUCAGUGGUUAAGAGCACUGGUCAUUCUUCCAGAGGACCUGGGUUCAAUUCCCAGCACCU